rnacentral:rRNA from 1 species
CCUACGGGGGCAGCAGUGGGGAAUAUUGGACAAUGGGCGAAAGCCUGAUCCAGCCAUGCCGCGUGUGUGAAGAAGGCCUUCGGGUUGUAAAGCACUUUCAGUGGGGAAGAAAGCCUUGGGGCUAAUACCCUCGAGGAAGGACAUCACCCACAGAAGAAGCACCGGCUAACUCCGUGCCAGCAGCCGCGGUAAUACGGAGGGUGCGAGCGUUAAUCGGAAUUACUGGGCGUAAAGCGCGCGUAGGCGGUCUGAUAAGCCGGUUGUGAAAGCCCCGGGCUCAACCUGGGAACGGCAUCCGGAACUGUCAGGCUAGAGUGCAGGAGAGGAAGGUAGAAUUCCCGGUGUAGCGGUGAAAUGCGUAGAGAUCGGGAGGAAUACCAGUGGCGAAGGCGGCCUUCUGGACUGACACUGACGCUGAGGUGCGAAAGCGUGGGUAGCAAACAGGAUUAGAUCCCCGGGUAGUC